UCCUCUGGAAACAAAACAGGGAGCUGUAUAAAAGGCCCACCACCCCAGACCUCGCCAUUCAAUUGCUGGGUUCGUCAACCACACAAGUCUCCAUUCACCACUGAACAAGUCUCCCUUCCACUCACAAAGAUGGGUUGCUGUGGUGGCUAUUCCGACCGUGGACCAAAAGUCAUUUGCAUCCCCUGUGGUGGCGGCGACAAUGGUUGCAACUCAAGCUGUUCACCUUGCUGCUGCUGCGCCCCCUGCUGUGGCUGCGUCCCCUGCUGUGGCUGCGCCCCCUACUGCGGCUGCGCCCCCUGCUGCGGCUGCGCCCCCUGCUGUGGCUGCGCCCCCUGCUGUGGCUGCGCCCCCUGCUGCUGCUGUGCCCCCUGCUGCUGCUGCGCCCCCUGCUGUGGCUGCUCCAAUGGUGGUGGCUCCAGUGGGGGCUGCUCUCUCUACCUAAUCUCUAAUGGAAGAAGGUCCUCCUGCUGUGGCAUGUGAUACUUUGGAGAUUCAACUCAGCCCAUAGCACCAACAGGACCUGUCCAACAUGCCGAAAUAACCUAAACACCAUCAACAUCCCUUUGAAGACCUUUGGCUGACUCCCGUUCUCCUCUUUGCUAACUUAAAAACCUGUUAAGCUUUCCACCUGCCUCUUCUGAUAAUGCUCUCAUUAUCUUCUUCUCUUUGGAGGAGUUUUCUUCCCUGAACAAAUCCUCAUAAGCAAAGGAGGCAUGACUAUUGCGUAGAAUUUGAUGGGUAGGCGUUCCUUUCACCCCGUCUUUCUGGGCUAUGGAAUUGUCUUGUAGUUUGUAGUGUUGCAUGGAUAAUGAUAAUAAAAAUGGAUCUAAUAUAUUUAUUGUCUCUGAAGCUUCUUGAAAAUUGUGCACUGCAUGAAAUGGAGGUUUCUGUUGCACUGUUCCAUCAUGGGUUUGUCUCUUUGUCUCUCCAUGCCAGGUAAGAAGGGACUUCUCUAAUUUCUAAGUUCUAAGUUGAUUAUAGUGUAUAUAUGUGUGUGUGUGUGUGUGAAAUGAUUCCCUUUUGUUUGUCUGGAAUCUGCUUCUCAUCUACUCCAUUGGGCUCCCCUUACAUUCUAGUGGAGAUAGAGAGAGAUCACUUAUACCACACCAAGCAAAGUCCAUCUUGUUAAUCACAGUUGUGUUUCAUUUAUGUGUUCCUUGCCCUGCUUUAACAAGCAAAAACAACCACAACAACUACAAGAAAGCACUUUGAACCUCCAUAGGCAGCAUUCUUGACAGCCCUAGAUUUUAAGGCCUGUAGAAACCCUGUAAGGUCAUUCAGAGGACACAACAUAGCACUGGAAAUACCAGGGUGAACGGCAAAGGUUUAACACACACACAAUCUCUCUCUCUCACACACAUAGAUACACACAUGGAACCUCUUGAUAAAGUUUAGGCAAAAGAAAACUUUUCAGUUCUCUACUUGUCCCAUCAUCUUGAGGUUUGUUUUUUAAGAAAGGCGUCAUGAAAAUUCCUCAGUCUUGUAGUGCAAAUUUCUCCUGCUAUAGUGUAGAUGGGAUGCAGAAAAUAGAUGCAAAAUACCAUACAAUGGAAGUCACGUUAACUAAGCAAGAAAUGAUGAAUCAAAUAAUUUUGGUGUAAGAAGUGUGGCCUUGGGUUCAUGGAUUCUGUUCAGCAGGUCCAUGGGUAGAAACCUCCACCAUAAUCCCAGCAGUGCCCUACAGCCAGAUUGAGAAUCACACUGUUAUUAGGGUUAAUAAUGCUUUUUAAGAGUGGUAAAGACAAAUAUGAGCCAGGUCAAGGCCCGUGUACCUGACGAUGGCGCAUCAUCCAGAUGGGGAUGGUGACUUGAAUGACUAAUGAAGAGUUUACCAUUUUGUGCAAUGAUGUCUGCAUGUGUCUCUGUGUUUGGAUGUGUGAGGGAUGGAAAGAUCUAUCAAUUUUAGUUCUCCCAGUUUUUCAUUUUUCCAAUCUAAAAUUCAGUUCUCCCCAUUUCUGCAACACGUUGCUAAUUUCUCCAGCAUUUUAGUGUGAAUUUAUCCAAAUAAACACAUUUUGGUAGGUAGUUUUAACUAAUGUACACAUUUUUUGGUAGCCAUGUCUUGUCAUCUGAUGCAUUUUUGCAUGUUUUUUUCACUCAUGCAUUCCUUUUUAUGCAUCCAUUCCCUUAGUAUACACAUUUUUGUAAAAAUGUUUUGAUCAGUGAACUGCAUCAAAACAUUUGAAUAAGUGUGAAUUUUGAAGGAUGUCUGUGGGUCUGUUCUCAUAUUAGAUAGAUUUCACUUGGAAAGUGAACUGAAUCAAAAUUCUCACCCAUCUCGUGUGUGCAUGUAUAUAUUUUGUCUCCACAGUUUUCUUCCACUUUGAAAAAGAAAAAAGUUAGAGCCCUUUUAAAUUUCUGAAUAGUGAAAGUGGAGGGGGAAUGACGCAGAUUCUCAGACUCUGAUGUCUGUCUGCAAAGAAGAAAAAUAUCUGACCUUUGGCAGGAUUAAUGCCCUCAGAAGGUGCAACCUGACUCCAGAUUUCUGCCAUAUCCUUGAAAAUCAAAAUAAAUUUGGGAGGCCAUUACAUUUUUGGCAGACUGGAGGGACAAAAGCUCCUGCCCCAUUUGUCUUUUGGCAGACUCUAUGGGGCCAUUAUACUUGCAAACCUCAUCUACCUUUGUCAAACGUGCCGAGUUACAGCCACCUGUGACUUCUUAGUAGUUAAGGGGGGAGAGAGAGAAUUCAUUUCUCUCAUACUCCAAAGCUCAAGAUGAAUCAAGAAACUUCCAAAUCAGGCUGAGCCACGCUGGGCAGUUCCAGAAUGUGCCACAUUGGGGUCCUAACCAAAUUUUGUAAUUGCUGCACACCACAGUAUAUGAAAUAAUGUAACAUAAGCCUUCAUAUAUUAGUAGCACCAUUACCAUCCACUUCUUCUGUUGCCUUUCACCCCCUCCAAUAUUACUUCAAAACAAACCCCCAUCCUCUAGGAAGAACUAUAUGAACUGAAGAUGCAAUAGACAAUAAUCAAGACAAAUAAUUCACUGAACAAAAAAAGAUGGAUUCGAUUUUUUUGGAGAGGGGUAUAAGAAAUGAAACCUUGACUUCAUGGAUUCUGUUAAACAUGUCCAUAGACAGAAACAUCCUUGUCCAUAAUUUUCUCAGUGGCUUCUGGCCAGACUGAGGAUCACACUGUUAUUAGGUUUAAUCAUGCUUUUAAAGACAUAGAGCAGUAAUGACGAGUAUGAGCCAUGUCAAGGACCAUGCAGCUGAAGAUGGUGCAUCGUCCAGAUGGGGAUGGAUGCUUUGAUGGCUAAUGAAGAGUGUACCAUAUUUGCAGCGAUGCCUCAUUUCCUCUGGAAACACAACAGGGAGCUGUAUAAAAGGCCCACCACCCCAGACCUCUCCAUUCAAACACUGGGUUCCUCAACCACACAAGUCUCCAUUCACCAUUGAACAAGCCUUCGUUCCGCUCACAAAGAUGGGUUGCUGUGGUGGCUAUUCAAACCGUGGACCAAAAGUCAUUUGCAUCCCCUGCAAUGGCGGCGACAAUGGUUGCAACUCGUCAUGUCCGCCCUGCUGCUGCUGUGCCCCCUGCUGCGGCUGUGCCCCCUGCUGUGGCUGUGCCCCCUGCUGCGGCUGUGCCCCCUGCUGCGGCUGCGCCCCCUGCUGUGGCUGCGCCCCCUGCUGCGGCUGCGCCCCCUGCUGUUGCUGCUGCCCUUGCUGCUGCUGUGUCCCAUGCUGUGGCUGCUCCAAUGGUGGCAGUUGCAAUGGUGGCGGCUCCAGUGGCGGCUGCUCUAUCUGCAUAAUCUCUAAUGGAAAAAGGUCCUCCUGCUGUGGCAUGUGAUACUUUGGACAUUCAGCUCAGCCCAUAGCAACAACAGGACCUGUCCAACAUGCUGGAAUAACCUCAACACCAUCAAUGUUCCUUUGAAGACCUGUCGGUUGACUUCCUGUUCUCCUCUGUGCUAAUCAAAAGUAGUUAUGGUUUUCACCUGCCUCUAAUUAUUUGAUUAUCUGCUCUGAUUAUCUUUUUCUCUUUGGAAGAGUUUCCCCCCCAACGAUCCCUAAUAAGGAAAGGUGGCAUGACUAUCGUGUAGAAGUAGAUGGGUAGGCUUUCCUCCCCCCCUUCUUUCUGGGCUAUGGCAUUGUCUUGUACUUCAUAUUGUUGCAUGAAUAACAACAAUAAUAAAAAUGAUUAUAAUAUA